rnacentral:rRNA from 1 species
CCUACGGGGGGCAGCAGUGAGGAAUAUUGGUCAAUGGACGAGAGUCUGAACCAGCUAAGUAGCGUGAAGGAUGACUGCCCUAUGGGUUGUAAACUUCUUUUAUAUGGGAAUAAAACGUUCCACGUGUGGGAUUUUGUAUGUACCAUAUGAAUAAGGAUCGGCUAACUCCGUGCCAGCAGCCGCGGUAAUACGGAGGAUCCGAGCGUUAUCCGGAUUUAUUGGGUUUAAAGGGAGCGUAGGUGGAUUGUUAAGUCAGUUGUGAAAGUUUGCGGCUCAACCGUAAAAUUGCAGUUGAAACUGGCAGUCUUGAGUACAGUAGAGGUGGGCGGAAUUCGUGGUGUAGCGGUGAAAUGCUUAGAUAUCACGAAGAACUCCGAUUGCGAAGGCAGUUCACUGGACUGCAACUGACACUGAGGCUCGAAAGUGUGGGUAUCAAACAGGAUUAGAUACCCUGGUAGUC